CGCAUGACGAAAAAGAAGAAAAGGAAUGGCCUCUAUACAAAGCUAUCGCCGAAGGAGGGGUUUUGCGUCUGAUUUAGCUGGUUGGAGGGGUAAGGCCCAACAAGGCGAUGAUCAGUAGCCGGUCUGAGAGGAUGAACGGCCACAUUGGGACUGAGACACGGCCCAGACUCCUACGGGAGGCAGCAGUGGGGAAUCUUUCCGCAAUGGACGAAAGUCUGACGGAGCAACGCCGCGUGAGUGAAGAAGGUCUUCGGAUUGUAAAGCUCUGUUAUACGGGACGAAAAAGACGGAUGCCAACAGUAUCCGUCCGUGACGGUACCGUAAGAGAAAGCCACGGGCUAACUACGUGCCAGCAGCCGCGGUAAAU
rnacentral:rRNA from 1 species